UCUUGUCAUCGCCCGAGACCCGGUCCUGUUCUUGGCCCAAAGUCUUUGUUGUUCCUCGCUUCUCAUACUGUGCUGAGAUGAUACUUCACUCCGGAAAUAAUGAGUUCAAUGCCCAUGGAACCUUGUUGUCUCCUACCCCAAAAACACGUUCUGAUAUUCUUGAGGGCCUAGCUGAAGAAAUCAUGAAGUAUACAGCAUAUCCAAAGGAUGAGCAGUUAGAAGAAGUGGCCAAGGCUCUGAUACAGUCCCACCCAUGUCUGUUGGAGAAAGGCACUCGUGGUGGCUACUGUGGUUGGAAGCACUACUUGAAAAUAAAGAUGAUGAACUUCAGAUCAAAGCUCAGCCGAGCUGGACAUCCUGAGGUUGCAGUCAACUCUCUGAAGAAUAAACGGAAAGGCCAGGAGAAGCCAGCGGCCAACAUCAAGAAGCCCAGGAAGGCAGAAGUUAAUUUCUGUCCAAACAUACCCAGAGGUGAAACAAGAGAGAGUAUGGAGGCGGAAAGGGUGGCUCUACUGACAGAGUUAAAAAAGAAGAAACAGAAUGAGGCUGAGAUCAAGAAGAUGAUGCAGCAUACCUUCUCGAUCAGAAGGCAGGAGGUUCUCCAGGAGCCAGCGAUUCCAGAGUUCCGAGACAGAUGGCCAGCACUCUUUGAUGUCAGUGAGAUUAACUUGGAGUUCAUGCGACUGACAACUGUACCUCUGACCUCCAAAUUCCUCGGAGAACUGGACCGUCAGACAGACAACCUGAUCAAGGUUUUUAAUGCCAAAGGCGGAGUUGCAGGAAGAAAGAUCACCGCCAUAAUGGCCCAGAUGGAUAAUGCGUGAUUGUGUGCUGAGCUGUCUGAGCAUCUACCUCAAUGAAGACCUGGACACACUGGUUAAAGAAUAUGUGGACAUUGAAUCCAGAGAGGCUGAGGCAGACAUUGCAGAGAAGACCAUGGGCAUCUACACUGUCCGAGCAGAAGAUCAUGGUCCUGAUGGUCCAGGUGAUGGACACUUUGCUGAUGUUGUUGUUGUGCUGGAAGGCAUGGAAGUUCUCCAUAACCUGCAGAGUGUCAGCCAUGCAUGCGUGAUGCUUUAUGGGCUGAUUUAUGCACUUAACUUAAGCUAUCCAAAAAGCCUGACGCGUACAUUCGAGGUGUACCAGAAAAUCCUAAUGGAUCUGGACUCAACCAAGCUUUCACCAAAGGUACAGGCACUAAAACUCAAAUUGCUCCAUUGAUUUGGUUGUCAAUAAUGCACUUACACAGUCCCUGCUUUAUUUUUCUUCAACCCCGACAGAAUUUUGUGUUUAAGUUAUUCCUUAGUUCUUGAAGUUUACCUGUUUUAUAAAUUUGUAUCUGUAAAGGAUAUUUUUGUUUCUCUGGUGUUGAAUCAUUUAACAGGGGUGUGAGUGUGGCUGUGUUGGUGGGUUCAGAUUGGUAGUUUCUAAAGUGUUAGCUGGCAGUGUUGUAGUGGCUCAGCUCAAGCCAGAUUUUUAUUGAAUUGUUUCCAGGUUCAAUGGGAGCUAGUUAAGUGUUUUAAAAGGUACUAAAAAAGUUCUUCAUUUCCUACCAAAGCCUUUGGUCACUCAAG